UACGUAGGGAGCGAGCGUUAUCCGGAUUUAUUGGGCGUAAAGGGUGCGUAGGCUGUUUGAUAAGUCUGUGGUUUAAGUCCGAAGCUUAACUUCGGUGCGCCACAGAAACUGUCUUGCUUGAGUAUGGUAGAGGCAAGUGGAAUUUCUAGUGUAGCGGUUAAAUGCGUAGAUAUUAGAAGGAACACCAGUGGCGAAGGCGACUUGCUGGGCCAUCACUGACGCUGAGGCACGAAAGCGUGGGGAGCAAAUA
rnacentral:rRNA from 1 species